AACGAACGCUGGCGGCAUGCCUAACACAUGCAAGUCGAACGAGACCUUCGGGUCUAGUGGCGCACGGGUGCGUAACGCGUGGGAAUCUGCCCUUGGGUUCGGAAUAACAGUUAGAAAUGACUGCUAAUACCGGAUGAUGUCUUCGGACCAAAGAUUUAUCGCCCAGGGAUGAGCCCGCGUCGGAUUAGCUAGUUGGUGAGGUAAAAGCUCACCAAGGCGACGAUCCGUAGCUGGUCUGAGAGGAUGAUCAGCCACACUGGGACUGAGACACGGCCCAGACUCCUACGGGAGGCAGCAGUGGGGAAUAUUGGACAAUGGGCGAAAGCCUGAUCCAGCAAUGCCACGUGAGUGAUGAAGGCCUUAGGGUUGUAAAGCUCUUUUACCCGGGAUGAUAAUGACAGUACCGGGAGAAUAAGCCCCGGCUAACUCCGUGCCAGCCGCCGCCGUAACAC
rnacentral:rRNA from 1 species